CCUACGGGUGGCAGCAGUAGGGAAUCUUGCGCAAUGGGCGAAAGCCUGACGCAGCAACGCCGCGUGGGGGAUGAAGGCCUUCGGGUUGUAAACCCCUUUCAGCAGGGACGAAACUGACGGUACCUGCAGAAGAAGCACCGGCCAACUACGUGCCAGCAGCCGCGGUAAUACGUAGGGUGCAAGCGUUGUCCGGAUUCAUUGGGCGUAAAGGGCUAGUAGGCGGCUUGGCAAGUCGGGUGUGAAAACUCCAGGCUCAACCUGGAGCGGCCACUCGAUACUGCUAUGGCUAGAGUCCGGUAGGGGACCACGGAAUUCCUGGUGUAGCGGUGAAAUGCGCAGAUAUCAGGAGGAACACCGGUGGCGAAGGCGGUGGUCUGGGCCGGAACUGACGCUGAAUAGCGAAAGCGUGGGUAGCAAACAGGAUUAGAUACCCUUGUAGU
rnacentral:rRNA from 1 species